ACAGCCAAAUAAAACCGAAGAAGAAGAAAUACGGUUUGAAUUCAGCAGCUGCUAAAUUUACGAAAAUAAACAGGCCCGAUGUAUUUGUUCGCCGGUUUGUGGUAAACUUUCCUUUAAGAUCAGAGACAUGAACUGGGACAAUGAGCUCAGCUCCAUUCUGUCAGUAGCAGAUGGCAGUGUUGCAAAAAUUAGGGAGAGACUAACAUCCCCUGGGAAACUCUCCAAAGAUGGAAA